CUCUAUCCUGCAACUGGAAACGAGGACAAAUGUAGCAACGGUCGCCCAUUGUGGGUCAUCAGAGGCAGGAGAGACUACGCGGAGGCUGCGUGUGGAAGAGUGGUCGACAGAACCACGUGCCCCAGAGGCUACACGUGCGUCAUCGCACCCACCGACGCCUACUCCCUGUGCUGUCCAGAAACUUCUCCAUAUGGAAACGUCGUUAAGAGUGGGCAAUGUCCAGUUCCGGCCAAUGAUUCCGUUGGAAUUUGCGCCAACACUUGUCAGUCCGACAGCAACUGUGAACUGGACCUCAAGUGCUGCAGGAACGCUUGUGGCGCCCUCACCUGCCAGAGACCUGUCAUGAGCAGGGUCCUCACCUGCCGUGACAAAUAUUGUGAGAAGGACAUGGUUUGUAUAGACACCCCGACCGGCCCGGAGUGCGUGCCUUCUGC